CACCGUCGGGUAAUCAACGGUCUGUCUGAACCGAACUGCAGUGCAGAGCCGGAAUGGGGGGCUUGGCCCCGGUCCAGCACGGUCAAAAUUAGCUCUCUGUUGAAUUACAUGCAGUCAGCCAGUGGAAGAGGCUGAGCUCCAGUCCGGCAGCCUUGUAUGGGGAGUCCGAGCCCCGCAAGGCUGCCGCUCGGCUCCGCGUUCGUCCACAGACGCCUUUUCCAGCAGCAACUUCACAGCGACAGGACAAGAACAAAGCCUUUACCAGUCCCGUUUUUAGGAUGACGCCAACUGGAGCAAUGGGCUAUCCCAUUAGAGCCGACAGCUGUGUUCCUGAACCCGCCGGAGCAUGGAGGAACGUCCACCAGACAUCCACAUUCCCUCUGUCUGAUGCGGGAUAAAGAACGGCCCUCGGGGGGGAAACAUAUUCUCCGUGUAUAUUAUUUUUUAUUUCCCAAAAUCAUGUAUAUCCUUAUUUUGUAUGGUUCUGGCGUUCGGUACAGAUGAAAUAUGAUGCUGGGGCUCUUCCCUCAUCUAUGUGAUUAAUAACAUUUAGACAAAACCUGGGACUCUAAGCCUUGAUGAUAUGCUCUUCGGAGGGAACGGCAGUAAAGACACAAAAGCACCUCAAGACAGACCUGACAGACUGGAGCUUCACAUGUCUGUGUUUGCAAACUGCGAGGGUCUGGGAUCCUCGUGGCGGCGGCAGCAGCACGUCUUCCACUUGUCCACUUCUACUUUGCAUGGCUGGACUCUUUCAUACCUCUGUAAAAAACCACGAAACAAAAAAAAAAUCCACCAAUGUUUAACAGUGUUCAUGCAGUAAUGAUGCGAUGUGGGAAACACGAGCGGUGUUUUCUUUAGAAGGCCGAUUCCGAUGUCAGGGUUCCCAUAGAAACGGCAAUCGAUUCUAAAAAUGAGCAUUUAUAGAUCUGGAAUUGUCAUGGAAUUUAUUAAAUUUGCAUAAGGAGUCAUGAAAAAUGUAUUAAAUUAAAGCAAAGGUCCACGUGAAUUAGAAGUUGCUGAAACUUUUGAGCAUGUUGAUGUACUUCCAACUAAAACGGAAUAUUGAGUAGGGGGCGGGGCUUCUUUUUUGCGCAGCAUUUUCUUGUAGCAAACUAAUGGCAAAAGGGGCGUGGCUAAGAAUAUCGUUUCUGAAGGUGAUGUCAACAAAAGAACCGCCAGUCAAAACGCAGAAGCCAAAUAAUCAGAUAGGAUUGUUACGAUACUGGAAUUCGAUACCAAUCGGUACUGAAAUUUUAAAAACGUUAACGUUCCCGCUAACAUUUGAACAUGUUCUUAUUCAGCUCUGAUUUGCCGUUCAUGUACUCAACAGAAAUCACUCUGAUUGGCUAUGAAGGUCAUCAGUUCACCGAACUCAACGCUGUUUACUGAGUGCAACCACAGAUACAGGAACACUGGAGCGCUUUAAAGCCGAGAUUCAUCAGCGAUCGCUUGUAUGUCAGCUUAUAAACAAACCAGCUGAUCUUCAUGGCUUUAAAACGCUCCAGUGUCCCUGUAUCUAUGUUUACGCUCAGUAAACAGGUAAACCGAUGACCUUCAUAGCCAAUCACAGUCAUUUCUGCUCAGAUGUUUGCAGGGAAUGGAUCUCUGACUAGAAAUACCGAUUGGUAUCGAAUUCCAGAAUCGUGACAACCCUAUGAUCAGAUUUGAUUGAAGAUUACCAAAACAAAAAAAUUAUUGCAUGGAUUAAAUACCCAGCUAGCAAAAUAAACAUUAUAAAUUUCGAUUUCACACAGACUUUACAUUCUGUGGGAACCCUGCAGUAUUGAAUGUCUUUUUUGUUGCCAUUUUUGUUUAGUUCGAAAUCUCUAAGAAGUAUUUGAAAUCAAAACUCGCACCUCUGUUAGUUGAUCGGCUGGUGACGUCAUUUCACUACCAAAACAGGCACACUGACUCAAGCACUUUAGAUGUCCCUCCCAGAUCCUCCAUUCCUACGUCGUUUUCAUCAUUAAAACGCAUCGACAUCAGUCAAAACUCACACCUUACAGUAUUUACUAAGGCUAAGAGUCCCCACUUCUCAUGCGGUUACUAAAAAAAAGCUACAGAGUUCAUCUUUUUUUGAUUGGUUGAUUUUGUAGGAUUUCGCUUCAGUUUAGCUUUUUAAUUUUGAUCGUUUUUGUUUGCUUUGCCAGUAUAUUAAAGUGUAAUCAUGUACGUUGUGCUAUAGAAAUAGCUGUACAGACGCAUUGUUUCCUUGUGGUAAGUGACUGAGAUGCUGCCACGGAUUUGAGACACUGAUGAAUGGUGCUAUUUUGGACUUUAAUCUGCUCCUUGGUAAGGAAGCUCAGAUGGGUUUUGUUUUAUACUUUCAUGUUCGGAAAGGAGGUUGUUGGUUCUUUGUUGUCUGGUUGUCGUAAUUCGGAUCGGAUCGACUUUAUUCCCCCCUUGUUGUUUCUGUGUGGCUUUCUCAUUGGACAGAAAAAAAAACAGAUUUGUUGAAGAGUUGGCGUUUCGUUUUAGUUUCUUUACUUUAAAUAAAAAAUAAUGGUAACACUUUACUGUAAGGUUGCAUUAGUUAAUGCUAACUUAGUAAUUAACGAUCAAUACAUUUAUUACAGUAUACAGUCUUUGUUAAAAUAAAGUCUUUCAUUGUUAGUUUUUAACUCGCAGUGCAUUAAUUAAAAGUGAACGUUGAACUAAUAUUAAAGGUGCUGUAUGUACGUUUAUGACUCCCAUAAUAUGUUUGCAGAUAUUUAACAAACAUGCUAAGUGAACAUUCAGAUAUUCUGCUUUGAAAAUGUGCGUUACGUGCCAGAACGUCUGUCUUUGUUUCGGUCUUUUAACCCGCCCACUGCCAGUUUAGCCAAUUAUAUUUCAGCGCUCCUGGUUGCCUUGGUGGAAAACCUCAUAUUUCAUUCAUUCAGAAAGGCUGUCAAAGUGUGCGUCCGCAACCAAAAUGCGACCUCCGGUGGACAGUAGCAGACUCCGAAAUGAGAUGCAGAUUCAGAGUUCCACAUGAGGUGGUUAUUAAUUAGCAAAUAAUAUAAAUAUUACGAAUGUAAACAUUAAAUGAGCAGGUUACAUUGUAACCCCGUGUCCUAACAACACGCAAUUUGGCUGUUUGCACCAGACGAAACAUGACAGAAACAUUUAAAUACAGGCAUUCAGAUGCACAGAAUAGUGCACUCGCUGCACUCCAACGAAAUGCUUUAGAAUCAAAUUAAAACGUAUUAAACCUGAACUUGUCUUGCACUGAGAGUCAAACUUGCAUACUGCACCUUUAUUAAACACUGUAACACUAGUAUUGAUCAUUAUCCCAUGUUAGUAAAUCCAACUAAUAAGAACCCAAUGUAAAUUGUGAGCCAAACAUUUUCCUCAAAGAUGAUUAUUUGCGAAAUUCAGAAAUCCAAGACGGUCGGAGCAAUCACAAAACUGCAAUUAAUAACACUAUUUACCCUUUAAUGUAAAGGUUUAAUUCAAGGAGUAGUUACAGUUCCUGGCACUAGUCACUUCGGGCAGUAGCGAACUCGGUCUAUAGUAGAUCUCAUGCAUACAAAGCGGGAGCGAAGUUCACGAUUUUCGUUCCUUAAAUACAUCGAGGACGCAUCCAGACACUUGAAACAUCGCUGCGAAAACACGAAGGACGUCUGUGGUUGCUGUUGUAUUCUGCUGCGCACGGUCCCAGGCUGACGGCGGUCUAUAUAGUGUGUAUAUAAACCAGGGCAGAUUUCUCAUCAGCUGUUUCCUACACCAGCUGGGAAUGUCUAAUACGCAUCAUCCGUUUAGCGACACCGGGUCCUCCGAUGUAUUUUCUACCGCAAAAAAUGUAGCAUCGAAGAAAAAAACAAACAAACCAUUGACAUCUAUAGCAACUGGUUUUCUGAACGAGUUUUAGGAUAAACACCAAAAGCUUUCUAUUUAUUGUUUAUUUGUUCGUUUGGGUGAUUAAUUUAAGUAGCAUGAUAUCGUCACUUGGUAUUUGCAGUUUUGUCUUUGCUUCCAGUUCACAUACUUUUUAACAAUCCUAAUUCAAAGACCAACUGGAAAGCCCACAUUAGUUUCGUAGUCUUCCAUUCAUUGUUUAUUUCCACUACAAUGGGGAUCGCCCCAGCUUGCUCUAGUCUUUCCUUAGUGCUUUACGGCAUAUCGACUGCAUGCUCUCGGCUCUUCCUGUUUCCUUUUUUGGUUUCUGAUCUGAAUAAUUCUCCUCUCUCGCGUUUAUUUCCUCCAUAGGUUACGUAUUGCCUACUGUGUUGUAAAUAGCCAGUGAAUAGCUUGUAGUAUGUCGAAUUAUUCUGUAACAAUUGUGUGUAUGAUUGGUGUACAAAACAUGAAGUCUGGCCUGGUCAUCUUUAUGAAGAUGCACUGGCGUUUCAUGUCAUUUUCGCAACUUAUGCUGUAGUUGAAUAAAUAUGCAUGCUCAUC